AGACCGAGCCUCCGAAGUGGGCCGAGAGGGCGAGAAGUGGACGCGGUUCCCUAACAGGGGCCCGGGGAACCCCCAGGAGCCCCUCGGGGCCAAGAAUUAGUAGUAGUAGGACACACGCACAUACACCAGAUUCCCUACACACCAGUGUAUUUCCCCGACUAAAGUAAAGCUGUUACUGUAUUGGGAUCUAAGAACUCUCUUCAGGAUUCAAAGAUAAUUUCAAAAUAUAGUGACACAAGAAUUUGGAUAAAUUUCAUCCUAACAUUGAUAAAGGAGCCAGAUGCUGACGAGUACGAAUUGUAGAGUUCCGUCUAUGUAAAUAAAAACCAGUCCUCGCUGUUAGAAGUUAGGGGCUGGUGGGUUCUGCUUCUGGAUCUGGUGCUGGUAAUGUGGGUGUGCUGCAUUUGGGGCGGUACCUCAAGCAGCAGAUUACCUGCCC
rnacentral:lncRNA from 1 species